UACGUAGGGGGCAAGCGUUAUCCGGGUUUACUGGGUGUAAAGGGGGCGUAGACGGCGAUGCAAGUCUGAAGUGAAAGGCGGGGGCCCAACCCCCGGACUGCUUUGGAAACUGUAUAGCUGGAGUGCAGGAGAGGUAAGUGGAAUUCCUAGUGUAGCGGUGAAAUGCGUAGAUAUUAGGAGGAACACCAGUGGCGAAGGCGGCUUACUGGACUGUAACUGACGUUGAGGCUCGAAAGCGUGGGGAGCAAACAGG
rnacentral:rRNA from 1 species